rnacentral:rRNA from 2 species
AGACCCGAAACCCGGUGAUCUAGCCAUGGGCAGGUUGAAGGUUGGGUAACACUAACUGGAGGACCGAACCGACUAAUGUUGAAAAAUUAGCGGAUGACCUGUGGCUGGGGGUGAAAGGCCAAUCAAACCGGGAGAUAGCUGGUUCUCCCCGAAAGCUAUUUAGGUAGCGCCUCGUGAAUUCAUCUCCGGGGGUAGAGCACUGUUUCGGCUAGGGGGCCAUCCCGGCUUACCAACCCGAUGCAAACUGCGAAUACCGGAGAAUGUUAUCACGGGAGACACACGGCGGGUGCUAACGUCCGUCGUGAAGAGGGAAACAACCCAGACCGCCAGCUAAGGUCCCAAAGUCAUGGUUAAGUGGGAAACGAUGUGGGAAGGCCCAGACAGCCAGGAUGUUGGCUUAGAAGCAGCCAUCAUUUAAAGAAAGCGUAAUAGCUCACUGGUCGAGUCGGCCUGCGCGGAAGAUGUAACGGGGCUAAACCAUGCACCGAAGCUGCGGCAGCGACGCUUAUGCGUUGUUGGGUAGGGGAGCGUUCUGUAAGCCUGUGAAGGUGUGUCGUGAGGCAUGCUGGAGGUAUCAGAAGUGCGAAUGCUGACAUAAGUAACGAUAAAGCGGGUGAAAAGCCCGCUCGCCGGAAGACCAAGGGUUCCUGUCCAACGUUAAUCGGGGCAGGGUGAGUCGACCCCUAAGGCGAGGCCGAAAGGCGUAGUCGAUGGGAAACGGGUUAAUAUUCCCGUACUUGGUGUUACUGCGAAGGGGGGACGGAGAAGGCUAUGUUGGCCGGGCGACGGUUGUCCCGGUUUAAGCGUGUAGGUGUGUGUUCCAGGUAAAUCCGGUUCACUUUAACACUGAGGCGUGACGACGAGGCACUACGGUGCUGAAGCAACAAAUGCCCUGCUUCCAGGAAAAGCCUCUAAGCAUCAGGUAACAUCAAAUCGUACCCCAAACCGACACAGGUGGUCAGGUAGAGAAUACCAAGGCGCUUGAGAGAACUCGGGUGAAGGAACUAGGCAAAAUGGUGCCGUAACUUCGGGAGAAGGCACGCUGACACGUAGGUGAAGUGAUUUACUCAUGGAGCUGAAGUCAGUCGAAGAUACCAGCUGGCUGCAACUGUUUAUUAAAAACACAGCACUGUGCAAACACGAAAGUGGACGUAUACGGUGUGACGCCUGCCCGGUGCCGGAAGGUUAAUUGAUGGGGUCAGCGCAAGCGAAGCUCCUGAUCGAAGCCCCGGUAAACGGCGGCCGUAACUAUAACGGUCCUAAGGUAGCGAAAUUCCUUGUCGGGUAAGUUCCGACCUGCACGAAUGGCGUAAUGAUGGCCAGGCUGUCUCCACCCGAGACUCAGUGAAAUUGAACUCGCUGUGAAGAUGCAGUGUACCCGCGGCAAGACGGAAAGACCCCGUGAACCUUUACUAUAGCUUGACACUGAACAUUGAGCCUUGAUGUGUAGGAUAGGUGGGAGGCUUU